CAUCAUCAUACAGAACCAAUUCCAAACUAUGGAACCAUCUCUGCCAAUUCAUACUAAUAUACAGAGGGCAAGACAAUUUUAGUCAUAAGACUAUUUAAAUAUCUGUGUAGCUAUAUGUUCUCACUAGAACAAAUUCAAAAGAAAAAAAUAUUUUUUAAAUGUAGUAUAAAAGAAAGUUCACAUUCCCAGUAAUAUUUAAAAUACAUGAAAAACCUCUUACGUGGUGUAAAUGAUAAUCAAAUGGAUGCUAUUCAAUAACAAUGAAUUCAACCUCUGUGAGUUGGGGCACCAUAACUUAAUCAUCAAAAGUGCAGUGAGGCUAGAAGGUAUGUAUUUUAUAUCUGAAUCAAAUAAAACAAUCCAACACCGGCUCAUUCAUUAUUCUGUAUACAUUUUCCUCAGUUACUGAAAUGAAAGAUGGUGGCAUGGGUGUUUACUUAAAAAUCUCUCAGAUCUCCUUUAGUAUAAAAGAAACAGAUGUAACUGCAUUGUUGAGCUUAACAAACAUCUAAGUUAAACAAAACUGUGCUGAGACCCACAAUCAACAAGUCUGUAGAGUGCCUAGGUUUCCUUGACACUCCUGAUCACCUAAUUAAAGACUGAUGGAAGGCUGAGUAUUUAUGAUGCGCUGUACUAAGGGCUUGUGCACAUGUUUUCACCAAGUCUCAAAAUAAAUAUCUAUGAGUUACAACUAUUCUUAUAAUUGUUUAAUAGGAAGUACUGAGAAAUGAAGUGUCCUGAGCAAAGGCUAGAAUGAAGCGUGAGUUUGGAUCAAUCACUGUUGGAGUCAGUCUGACAGAAAAGCAUUUAAAUACUAUAUUAGUGGGCCUAUGAAGAGAAUGUUUAAAUCUCCCUAAUACUACCAUCAGUGCUCAGUCAUGAGAACAGUGCCAGAGAUUAGGAAUCUAAUCACAUCACAGUAGUGCAUGUGUGACCCAUGGAAUGAUCAUGAGUCAAGUUUGCUGGCAUGGGGAAACAGUAUUACUUGCACCUCAGUCAUCCACAGAGGAGACAAUCAACCAAGGAGACUCAGAGGAGGUAACCAUAUAACCAUAAAGAGGUCAAAGGCACCUCUUCCCUUGAGAAUGCAGUUCAGGGGUAAGAAUUCUAAAGGACUGCGGUGGACAAAGCAGGAGAUUACAAGGAUCAGAGAGGCACUUCUAAAGCAGAAGCCAAGAAUAAUCAAUGUGGCCACCUGCCAAGGAAGGUAACUGCAGGAAAACAAAGGCCAAUUCACCCACACCUCCGCAGGUAGGAAAUUGGCCUCAAAUGUAGCCCACUUUAGCCUAACAAAUGAAUCAGGUUUUAAAACUAGGAACUUCCCUCCUCCCUCAACACAUCACAUUAUGAAAGUAUGGAACAGAGUGGGUAACUUGCGUGUAUUUGCCUCCCCAUUUCCAGAAAAUCCUGUCUUCAAAGCUAUUUUUUUAGGGAUUAUAAGAAGACUAAGAAAUACAAAGAAUGCCUUUGUGGCUCAGCACACUGUUUAUAUCCAGAUAUCAUGAAGCUUUGCAUUCAAACCCCAGUUGUAAUGGAGUUCCACAGUAGAAUGGGUACAGUGAAUGCAACCACCAUGAAUGUUGGCAGAUUAUUAUACAAAGGGCAGUUAUCCCACAGAGAGGGCUGGCAGGUUGACAGGGGACCAACAAACGAAUAAACUGAAAGGCAUAAUGAGCCCGAUUUCCACCCUAAUACACACACACACACACACACACACACACACACACACAGGCACUCACUCA